AACGCUGGCGGCAGGCUUAAUACAUGCAAGUCGAACGGUAACAUGUCGGAGCAACUGAUGAUGACGAGUGGCGCACGGGUGCGUAACGCGUAUGCAACUACCCAUAACCGGAACAUAACGUUGAGAAAUCGGCGCUAAUAUUCCAUGUGUAUAUUUUGUGGCAUCAUAGAAUAUAUAAAGAUUAAUUGGUUAUGGAUGGGCAUGCGUAUCAUUAGCUAGUUGGUGGGGUAACGGCCUACCAAGGCUGCGAUGAUUAGGGGUUCUGAGAGGAUAACCCCCCACACUGGAACUGAGACACGGUCCAGACUCCUACGGGAGGCAGCAGUAGGGAAUAUUGGGCAAUGGAGGCAACUCUGACCCAGCCAUGCCGCGUGAAGGAAGACGGUCCUAUGGAUUGUAAACUUCUUUUAUCAUAGAGUAACCGCAGGGACGUGUCCCUGCCUGCAAGUAUAUGAUGAAUAAGCAUCGGCUAACUCCGUG
rnacentral:rRNA from 1 species